GACGAACGCUGGCGGCGUGCCUAACACAUGCAAGUCGAGCGGAGUCAGUAAGAGGAAGUUUUCGGAUGGAAUCUUAUUGAUUUAGCGGCGGACGGGUGAGUAACGCGUGAGCGACCAACCUUGCACAGGGGGAUAACGGACCGAAAGGUUCACUAAUACCGCAUGGGACCACGGUGUUGCAUGACACAGGGGUCAAAGGAGUAAUCCGGUGCAAGACGGGCUCGCGUCCGAUUAGGUAGCUGGAGGGGUAACGGCCCACCAAGCCUAUGAUCGGUAGCCGACCUGAGAGGGUGAUCGGCCACAUUGGAACUGAGAUACGGUCCAAACUCCUACGGGAGGCAGCAGUGGGGAAUAUUGGGCAAUGGGGGAAACCCUGACCCAGCAACGCCGCGUGAAGGAAGAAGGUUUUCGGAUUGUAAACUUCUGUCCUUGGUGAAGAGAAGAAGACGGUAGCCAAGGAGGAAGCCCCGGCUAACUACGUGCCAGCCGCCGCGGUAA
rnacentral:rRNA from 1 species